rnacentral:lncRNA from 1 species
ACAGAUAGGCAGAAGACAGGAUCAUGGUCAGAAGUUAUAUAUGCAGCCAGGGGAAUGUGAAGCAGCUGACCGAACAGGGAGGAGCUGCGCAUUUUGCUUCAGGCAGUUCAGUCCUGUGCUGUCGGCCAAGUUUGAACAAUAAUUUCGUCUUCAACCAAAAUCAAGUGCGAUUGGAAAACGUACCAAACCGCUGCAGCACAUUUUGGGGACAGACAAAUUCGUUUCUGUUACAAUGGGAAGCUGGAAGAAUCACGUGCGCGCUCGACUGCAACAGAGAGACCACACUGAGAAACUGCCAUACUUUGGCGUGUUCACAAGAUUGUGUCAGAUGGAGGAACGUUUUGAAAUUCGCAAACAAAUUUUGGAUGAUGUUCAGUCUAAGAGUUCAGGCCAAGUGGGAUUUGAAGUUGGGAAAAACACCAAACUCCUUCAACUCCAACUGAAAGAGAGUGAACACCUGGCAGAAAAGCUGUCUCAGACUGUCUCCGACCUGACCACUGUCCUGUGUCUGAAAGAGGCUGAACGGCAGUACUUGCAGUCACGUGUGUCCCACUACCGUCAAGAGGCUCUUACUCUGGCAAAAGGGAGUAACACCCUGAAGGCGACCCUUUAUGAAUUUGAGUUCACCAUCGAGUGUCAAUCCAAAGAGUUGGCAGCCCUGCGUGCGGAGCAGAAAGGACUAAAUCAGGCGUUGGCACAGGCCUGGAGAGAGAAAGAGGAACUCUUACAACGAUGGAUGGAGGAGAAGAGGGGGGAGGCAGACCGGUUGAAUAAGUACAACGACACACAGGAAAGGUGGCAACGUUUGGCCAAACAGCUGAAGAAGCACCUCCGUAGUGAGGUGAGAAAAGACUGUUUCCAAAGGGACGAGCUCUUGGAGUGGUGAAACAGAAACGCCUGCAUCCGUCAUUCAGAGGAUCAUGAUAGACACCAGGGACACUCAGAACACGACCAUGUCUCAGCUGUGGCAAAAGUCUAAUAUUCCCAUGGGAUAACAGUUCAGCACUGCGAUUACCUUUCUGUACAUUUCACCCUCCUACAUCAGCUUGUAGUUUAAAAAAACUAUUUGCCCAUAUGUAACGCCAGAAAUGUAAAGAAGGAUUGACCCCUUUGCAACUAGAAGUGUUGGUUUCUUAUUUGUUGUUUUAAUUAGCCUAAAUUGUUUAAAAAUCCUCCAUAUUCUCUAAAUUAAUUGUUUAAUUUAGAAUUUCCUAAUUGCCUAAUUUUACAUUUUCUGCUUUAACUAAAAUCCCCUUUUCCCCCCAAAUAAUGUCAAUUACACUCCAGCUAAGUUAUCACAUCUGGACUUUGUCCUGAUUGACACCCCUCACUAAAGGUACCAUUUGAGGUGAUAAACCACACAAACACAACCUCUGCUCAUCUUUGUUCACAUCAUUUAAAUUGCAGGAGCUGGAGUUGUUUUAAAUGUUUAUUUGCAAAGAAAAUCAUGUAAAUAAUUUUUAUUUCCUAGUUUAAAAAGUGUAUUUGAGAAGAAUUUAAUAACCGGGGAUCGUUGUAUUGUACUUAAUUUUUUUUACACAUUUUAAUUAACUUUGAAUUAUUAACAUUUCUUAUUAAAAUGGAAAAACAACUAUCCCAGAUGAUUAUGUUAUUGUGUAUAUAUAUGUAUGUAUGUAUGUAUGUAUUGUUGUUUUACCAAAUCCAGUGUUGUGAAAAAUAAAGUCACUUGUACGCAAAUUUUGUAUUUUGAAAAAAAGAAAAGUGUUCUUUUAAUUCUCAAACACGCAUCAAUUUAAUGGCAUUUUGACAAAGGAGAAAAAAGGCAAAGAAAUCCUACUUUGUACAUUUAACUACUUAAUUAGCUAUAAUUUAAUAUUCAACAAAAUCUGCUUUUUUUUGUAUUUCCUUUUUAAUACCAGAAUUCCAGUUCCACAUCUCCAUGGCAAAUUGAGAUCACAUUUCAUGUUGUUUUUGCAGGCAGCAACAUGUUCCCAUAGUCACCAGUGUGUUUGCAUUAGUUGUUGAGUUGGACAGUGUGUGUGUGUGUGUGUGUGUGCUGUAUUAGCGACGCUAGUCAGUGAACUCUCAAACUAUAUUAAAAUGGUAAAAGGUGGAAAGCGAUAUUCUUCAAUGAGCAAUGAUGGCAAAUGGGUAAGAAAUUCCUAAUUUCAACACAUAAUCAGAUGAUUACAAAUCAUAACAUUCAAACCUGGCUGUGUAAUGAGCUUUUCUUUCAUUUUCUUCCCAGUUUGCUCAUCCAGUUUUACCAGAAAAUGAGACGAGGAGUCGUGAGGCUUGUACAAGCACUGGGAUCGUGACUCCGGUUAAAUCAUCAGUGCCUCAGGCUUUGAACUUGGAGCGCUAUCCUAAAUGGAAAACUCAGCAGGUAUGUAUGCACAGUAGAUAAUAAAGUGGGUUUUUUUCACAGUAUAUAUGGCCCAAGGCAUUGAAAGAUAAAUAUUUUUGCUUCACUUAUUAAAGCACUUCUGCAAAGAAAGAAACUACAUCCUCAUUGUAUCCCAUUCGACUGUCUUCAGUUGUAUAUACUGUCCUCUCAAUAUGAGUUUCUUUACAGAAAUCCAGAGAAUAUCCAUUCUCCUGCCAUGACAACAAGCAUGCCUUAAAAGACAACAUCACUGUCUUCACUCAAGUGAGUAUAAAGAGAAAUUCAGGCCAUAAUAAAAUCCAUAAGAUCCAUCAUGUUGACGCAAAAACAUAUUUUCUAUAACAUGUUGGUGUACUUCAGGGUGUGGGACGCAAGAAGUGUCUUGAUGAGCACAGACUGCACAACUCUCACUUCUGCAUGUGCCACGAUGGAGCUUACAGCAGCCCUGAGGGGAACGUCUCGGUCCACCAGACUGACUUCACGAUAAAACCGGUUGUUAAUGUUCCAACCAGCACCAGACGUUUCCCCCGCAACCACAAGCAGAAGGCAGCAGAGGCCGCUUUGGCGCAGGCAGGGGAGAAUUUCAUGUGGUUCGGACGACACGACUCAAACGCCUCAGAGACCCUGCAAGUGCUGGCAGCUACUAAUUGCUCAGCACCAUCCAAGCCCUAACAUACUCCUACAUUUAAGGCACUAGAUGGCAUCAUAGAGAGGGACAGACAGGGAAAAUAGGAAACCUUACAAACAAGAUUUGUUCCACAACAACCCCAAUUAGACUGGAAAGUGGACUAUUCCAAUCCACUUGAUGUACUAACAAAAUAGCAUUUGUGCAUCUUAAAAUAUUUGGAUUUGCAUUUGAAAAUGAUAUUUUGAGACAUCAAGUUGUAUUUAAAAAUACUUUUACUCGCAUAAUCUAUACAAACUUGAAAUGUGAUAUCCAUGUACUCAUAUUACUCUUUCAGGUAUGUUUUCAACAUAUUUAAAGGGGGCACUUCAGUGAUUUGUCAUUAUAAUUUUUUUUAAGGUGGUGGGACUCAAAAAAGACAGAUUAAAAAGAAUGAUCAAAAAAGACGCAGAGAUAUCUGGACUUUUUUUCUCAAGUGUGGGUCAAGCUCCAAAAACACCAGAUACUACAUAUCCCAUAAUGCAACUAAAUUGCAUCUUUUGUUAGAGCUUCUCUCUUUGGUGAAGUACAUUUAGCACAAUUUUAGUAUGUCAAAAAUUGCACAUUUAUUUUAGGACAUUGAUCAUGUGUGCAUAUGGAAGCACACUUAGUAUAUUAACAUGAAAUAUAA